CACUCUGCGAAGCGGCGCCCCUCUUGAGCAGCUUCCGACCGAUCUAAACACUACACGCCUGGAAUACUCGAACCAAGACGCUCUUUAUCUGCUCAUGUAGAUCCUCGCGUAUGAACACCUAAUAGGGAUGAUGCUCUCGUGGGGUUCUUGCCAAAGUAAAACGCCGGCCUGAGGGCAGCGGUUCCGCGUGUCGCCGCGCGGUGGCGGAAGCAGCACAGCAAAGGGGUUCAGCGAGGACUAAACCGGGAUUCUGCUCCCUGGAACCUGAGUCUUCGCCUGUGUGCAAAGAGUCUCCUAGAAGAAAGAAGGGGAAGGAAAAAGGACAGUGGCGUUCCAUGAGAAUGGAGAAUGAUGGCAGAUGAGAACAUUGUGGAACCACAGCUAAAGUAAGUGGUAUGCAGAAUUACUCGUUCUGCAAAUGGAAAAGGGGGCAGCCAAACUCCAGUGGUUCUGUGGAGUUACUAAAUAAACAGUGCGAUUCAAAGCCAUGUGGCUGAGGACAUUAACUACACAGGAAUAAACUGAAGGAUUAAAA